UGAAACAUACAAAUGGAGUAAAAAAAUCUC
rnacentral:piRNA from 1 species